CCUUUGCCGAGUCUUUGUCUGGCCCCAGCCCCGCGGGGCCCCGGGUCCCUGUGCCCUCGGGGGUCCCUAGAAGGCGACAAUGGCUCGAGUCCAGGCGCCGAGGCUGGCGAGCGCCUGCUUGGCGCACAGCUGCCCGUUGAGCGGCGGCGGCUGCUCCGAGGAGUCCGGCUGUCGGCUCACCAGCCCCGAGAAGCCGGAGCCAAAGAUGGAGAUCAAGUUUGAGAUGUUGGACGCGUCCGGGGACGAGUCCGGGCAGAAGUCCUCGAAGCGGGCGCGCUUGCAGGGGGCGAACGGGGCGCCCCCGGGGGGCUCGGCCCCCAGCCCGCCCGCAUCCUCCUCGUCGUCUUCCUCCUCCUCCUGGCCAGGGAAGCCCUGAUUCCUUGGAGAAAGGCUUGCAGCCCCUCUCCUUCCUGGAUUGCACACCUCCAGCCCUGGCAGCCUGUCCCCUGGUUGGCACCCAGCAGCAGGCCACAGAUGGCUUCUGGCUGUCCCAUGGCGUCGCAUCAGGGCAUGCAGCGGAUAGUGACUCACACUGGCACCUCUUCUGCUUGGAAAAUGCCCUACACAUCCAUCAUCUUUGGUUUUUCUGCUAGAACGAUGGCAUGAGGAGCCGGCUCAGGUGUCUCUCCCUCCAGGAAGUGGGGCUUGUGCCCUUUGGAUACCUGCACUCCCCAUCACCGCACUCCCCAUCGUGGCACUUCCCUUGUUGCAGUUUUAUGGAGUGUGCGUCUGGCUCUCCAACUAGACUUGAACCGCUUGAGUGCAUAACUCGGGACUUGACCAUUUGCGUCUCCCUACGGCCAGCUCAGCCUCCGCACACAGGGACCUGCAGAGAGUGGAUGUAGCCACUGCCCCAGCGUCCCUGGGCUCUGAAGAGAAGCCAUUGCCCUUCAAGAGCCACCCUCAUUUCCUGGGCACUGGUUGGAAAAAACGAAGAAAAAGAGACACCCAGCUCACCUCCAAGUUUGCCUGCAGGUGAAUAUCUUGUUGAAAGAGAGGGGACUCCCUGAGUCUUGCUGGGUUGAGGAAGCUGAUUGGAUUUCCGGACUCAGAGGAGGGCUGCAGAGAGGGAGGAAUGGGGGGGAUGGGCAGCUGGCUUUCUGGAUGGGUGCAGGACAAUGACAUUGAUGGGGAAGCUUGGGGUGGCUCUGCCGUUGCCCACUGCUUGGCUGGUGAACUUGCUACAUCUUGGCCAGCACUAUCCUCUUCUGGCCUGCACCCUGCCAGACACAGGCAGUACCCCAAAUACCCUGUCCCUGUGCCCCGAAGUCUCCAUGACCUUCAGAUCCCAAGGGACAAGUGGCUCCACGAGGCAGGGCCUGUCCCUCUGGCUCACACUAUGGAGUCCACAGAACCUAGCCCGGAGCCUAGUGCACAGUAGGUGCUCAAUGUAUUCUAUUUGAAUGUUGCAUGAGUGAAUAAAUGCAGGAAUGUCAGGCUGGAAAACAGGUAUUUGUACACCUGUUUUCAUAGCAGUGUUAUUCACAGUAGUCAAAGGGUGGAAGCAUCCCACGUGUCUGCUGAUGGGUGAACGAGUAAACAGAAUGUGCCCCAGCCAUACAAUGGAAUGCGAUUCAGCCUUUUUUUUUUGAGACGGAGUCUGGCUCUGUCACCCAGGCUGGAGUGCAGUGGCACGACCUCAGCUUGCUGCAACCUCUGUCUCCCGGGUUCAAGUGAUUCUCCUGCUUCAGCCUCCUGAGUAGCUGGGAUUACAGGCAUGUACCACCACACCUGGCUAAUUUUUAUAUUUUUAGCAGAGACAGGGUUUCACCAUGUUGGCCAGGGGCUGGUGUCGAACUCCUGACCUCAAGUGAUCCUCCCUCUUCGGCCUCUCAAAGUGCUGGGAUUACAGGCGUGAGCCACGGCGCCCGGCCACGAUUCACCCUUAAAAAAGGAAGGACAUUCUGACACAUGCUACGACUUGGGUGAACCUUGAGUACCUGAGUGAAAUAAGCCCAUCAAAAAAGGACAAAUAUUAGCCAGGUGCUGUGGCUAAUGCCUGUAAUCUCAGCACUUUGGGAGGCCAAGGACGGAGGAUUGCUUGAGGAUUGCUCAAUACCAGCCUGGGCCACAAAGCAAGACCACCCAUGUGAGGUGUUUAGAGUAGUCAAAUUCAUAGAGACAGUAGGAUGGGGAGUGCCAGGAGCUGGGGAGAAGGGGGAAUGGGGAGUUAGAGUUUAAUGGGGACAGAUUUUCAGUUUUACAAGAUGAAAAAUGUUCUGGAGAUGAUGGUGGUGAUAGAGGCACAAUGUGGAUAUGCUUCAUGCCACUGAACUGGACCUAACCAU
rnacentral:lncRNA from 1 species